AUCGAACGCUGGCGGCAGGCCUAACACAUGCAAGUCGAGCGAGCGGCGGACGGGUGAGUAAUGUCUGGGAAACUGCCUGACGGCUGGGGAUAACUACUGGAAACGGUAGCUACUACCGCAUACCAUCAGAUGUGCCCCGAUGGGAUUAGCUAGUAGGUGGGGUAAUGGCUCACCUAGGCGACGAUCCCUAGCUGGUCUGAGAGGAUGACCAGCAACACGGGAACGGAGACACGGUCCAGUGUCCUACGGGAGGCAGCAGUGGGGAAGAUUGCACAAUGGGCGCAAGCCUGAUGCAGCCAUGCCGCGGGGGUGAAGAAGGCCUUCGGGUUGUAAAGCACUUUCAGCGGGGAGGCGUUACCCGCAGAGGAAGCACCGGCUAACUCCGUGCCAGCAGCCGCGGUAAUUC
rnacentral:rRNA from 1 species